rnacentral:misc_RNA from 1 species
CUGUUACAUAUAUCACCAAGGGUGCGGAGAUAGUAAAGUAAUUGAUAUGAAGCUGGACGAAAGGAUGGUAGAGGUCGGUUAGGAAGAGGGAGUUAUACCGAUGGAAGUAAAAAGGCUCCAGGAAAAGGAAGAAGGGAUGAGAGAAGAAGGAAAAUCCAUCGACUCACGUGAGAAAGUCUCGGGAUAAGAAGGAACUGGACGCGGAGAGAAACAGCGAACGAACAAGCAAAGAGGCCUUCUCUGUGGCUCUUGUUCGUGACUGAAAAAGAAGUCGGCGCUGAUCAAACGAAGACGCUCAGGAGAAACAUGAA